CGGCGCUUUGAUUGUCCACACUGAAUCAUCUCUGCACAUGUUUGCAACGUUCAGUGUGCACACAAGGUUCCAUA
rnacentral:pre_miRNA from 1 species